rnacentral:lncRNA from 1 species
AAGAAACAACAAAAAAAAUUCAUAUUCUGAUACAUAAGAGUUAUAUAGGAAUCGAAAUAGUCUUUUAUUUUCUUUUUGAAAAAAUGUAUUUCAUUGAAGUAAUAAAACUAUUCCAAUUCGAAUAAUAGUUGAGAAAGAAUCGCAAUAAAUGCAAAGAUGGAACAUCUUGGAUACGGUAUUGAAGGAGUUGAACCAGGAUUUCCAAAUGGAUAGGAUAGGGUCAGUUACGAAGUAUAGCGUGAAACUGGGACGACGGGUGUGUAGGACUGAUAAAAUGAGCCCAAGCUACUAUGAGGCCCACAGACACGGAUGGGGCGCGAGGCCGGAAGUUUUUUUAUUUCUGAGGGUUUAUUAUUAUUAGGAGAAAUCCCGUUAUUAUCAAAAUAAAUCUCGCUCGGUGGCCACCAAGAUUAUUUGUGCUUGGGCUUCCAGAAAUGUCCUGCGCCACUCUAGCGCAACACGAAAGGUAAAGGAAAAAAAAUUGAAGGAAAAACGGCAGGAUUCGAACCGGCGCCUUUCCUUGAUAUCGAACAUAAUGCAUAAGAGGAUCCAUAAAGAACCAUAGGGUUUUCCGAGAAAAACCAGGGUACAUUAUCCCAAAAUGUUCCAUCUUCCUAGAAAAGUGGAUUCGUUCCAGAAAAGUUCCAGAAGAUGCUAAUGGUAAGCAAGAAGAUUGUUUACGAAGAAACAACAAUAAAAAUUCAUAUUCUGAUACAUAAGAGUUAUAUAGGAAUCGAAAUAGUCUUUUAUUUUCUUUUUGAAAAAAUGUAUUUCAUUGAAGUAAUAAAACCAUUCCAAUUCGAAUAAUAGUUGAGAAAGAAUCGCAAUAAAUGCAAAGAUGGAACAUCUUGGAUACGGUAUUGAAGGAGUUGAACCAGGAUUUCCAAAUGGAUAGGAUAGGGUCAGUUACGAAGUAUAGCGUGAAACUGGGCCGACGGGUGUGUAGGACUGAUAAAAUGAGCCCAAGCUACUAUGAGGCCCACAGACACAGAUGGGGCGCGAGGCUGGAAGUUUUUUUUUAUUUCUGAGGGUUUAUUAUUUUUAGGAGAAAUCCCGUUAUUAUCAAAAUAAAUCUCGCUCGGUGGCCACCAAGAUUAUUUGUGCUUGGGCUUCUAGAAAUGUCCUGCGCCACUCUAGCGCAACACGAAAGGUAAAGGAACAAAAAAA